AUUGAACGCUGGCGGCAUGGCUAAAACAUGCAAGUCGAACGGACCCGCAAGGGUUAGUGGCGGAAGGGUGAGUACAAGUAUCGAACGUACCCCGAGGUGGGGGAGUAGGCGAUGGGAAACGUAGUGCGUAAUACCCACUGAUCUCGAGAGAGCAAAGACCGCAAGGCGCCUUGGGAGCGGCGAUAUACCUAUCAGGUAGUUGGC
rnacentral:rRNA from 1 species